GGAGGCCCUGGGUUCGGUUCCAUGUACUAUCAGCGAUUUUUCGUCUGUGAGAAGACUAGAACAGGCCAUGUGCAAUCCCUAAAGCCAGCUGAGGAGCUAUUUGACUCAGGACCCGGUAGCUCAAAGUUUUGGGAAUCUGACAUCGGCCAGGGCAGCGGUGUCCUGAUUCAUGCCCCACCAUACCACAUAGAAAUGACGUCAUAUGCCAGAGAAUGGCACGUCGGCCUAUUCUUAUUGCUUGGUGCCCUACGCCAAAUAGCAUAGUUACUUUUCUUGUAUAAUAUCAAUGCAAAUUAAAAGCAGUUCCACUAGCUUGUGCGCCGCACAUGGCGCUGCUUUUUUCGAUACAUGCUUAGUGAGCAACCAAAGUCUUACUAGGUCGGUGGAUUUUGAAUGUCGAAGAGCAGGAUAUUUCAUUUUUCAUAGCAUUAACUCUGUCAGGAUUAGUGAGACUGUUUUGUUGGUGAGUUCAUUCUGGAAUCUCGUACGACAUUCUGAGAGCAAGAGGAAUGCCCUCUGAAACGCCCAAGUUAUAUUAUUUUAGAUAUCAAUAGGGGCAGAAAAUAUGGUAGCGCAAAUCUUAAUUGUAACGUCUUUGAUAAUGUCAUACUCUCCAAAGCCCACCAAUAAAUCCUUAUAUUAUAACGGCAGUACUUGUAGUUGCUGUCCCACAUUAGGUUACGGUUACCAGUAGUCCGACUAAAAUUAACAUCACGACACAUAAAAACUCAUAACAGCUCACGGCGUCAGGUUCCGGUGUUGUCUCACCGAUGGCGUUGUCCUGUCAGAGCAUUUAGUGUUGUGUGAUUUAUACGUACUUCUUUUUCGCCUUUGUCACUUAUAAUCAUUGAUCGUUACCCACAGUUGCGAAAUAAAUCGUUUGUUUAUUAUGGAACUUUCGUCUGUCUACUAAGGUGUUGCUGGUGCCAGGCUUAAAUCUAUUCAUGUCUACUUGGUACGGCACAGUCAUUCUUGUAAUAAUUAGUGAUGCGCUUGACGCUCGUUCACAGGAAACAGUAUGUCCGAUGAAGCGACAAAUGAGUGGCUGUUGUGAACUCAGCUCUUGCUCAUUGAAUGGAACUGUAAAUUCUGUUAUGAAGGAAAAAGAGUAGUGAAGUACUAAUCAUUUGUAUUCAUCUUUCAUUUGUCGGAGUUAAACAUUUUAUAUUUAUUUCCUCUGCUCGACAAAAUUCUCGAUAUCCAGCAACCUGUCACUGGGUUCCUUGUCAGUUGCGAAGAUUGCGCACUAUAGCUGUCAGAAGUUCGUCGUAUUUGGCGGCAUCUACAGUGUGUACCAACGUUCGGUCCUCAAAGAUUAGCACCUAUAGUGCCGAUGCGGCGGACUCUGUGUGAACGUUAGCAUAUUUUGAACUGAAGGCGGAAUUAACUUCUGAUACACGAUCCACGAGCGCUGAAAGGAGUAAAGCUGUAAAGGCUCUAGCCUGCCAUUGACGUCGUAAUUUAAUGAUAGGUGAGUAUCUUUGAUGGCGGCCUAUAAUAGGUACUAACUGUAGUGUUUCUUGCAGUCACCAAAUCUUGGCCAAAAUAUCUCCUCUCUGGUGGCGACGUGUUUUGCCUGUGUUGAUUGCAUAGUCUACCAUAAACACUUCACAACCUCCGUUAACGUGGUCUGUUGUGUCGUGCUGGGGUGUUCAUACCUCUUCGGUGUUCAUGACACAGUGGCGGGAAGUAGCGACGUGAAGCAUUAAAAGUACACCUGGGACUCUGGUCUGCAUAUUUUAUUUCCUAGCCCCACCACGGUGGAGAUAAUUCCCGAUAGCUUGGUUACUCUUAUACUGUAUAAUAUUACGCUGCUUUUAAUAGAUGAGCCAAUCAUCACACGUCUCCUGUCCAGUUUUGUACACCUCGUUCACAGGAAACUAGGUCUUUGAAUUACUUAUUAGAGACACAGCUUCUCAAAGACACGUGUAAAGUGGAUUUUUCAUGCGUCAUUUUGUUGUAGCACAGUAAUUCAAUGAUAACACGAGUUGUCGUGAAUGAAGUAUUGUAUGAAUCGUGUAGGUUCUCUGACUCCAGAAAACAUUAAAUUUUAAUGUGAGAAUAGUAGCUUUGCUUACAUCAAACCUUUUCUUCCUAAUUCGUCCUCUUUAUUGUGACGUCAGUGUGGGUAAUUGACCGGCCAGCUUUGACCUAUAUGACACUCAUUGCGAGGGCCUCAGCAUGCGCUCCCCUUAGGCCAACUGAGGAGGUCCUUCAGUGAAGAGUAGCGGCUGCAAUCCAUGCCGCCAUAGGAUGACGCAGCAGCCUGACUCUUCGCGUAGUCUCCAAUGCCAGAUCGUACAGUUACCUUCUUGUAUAAUGUCGGCGCAAAUUGAACGCGACCCUCGUAACCAAUCCACUUUGCCUGCUUUGGUGCCGUAGAAUGAGCUAUUUCAUUGAAUACGUGUUAAACCGGCUACCAGUAACUUUCUUUAUCGCUGGUCUUUGCAUGUUAAACAUGUGGACAUAGCUCUUUCACAUUACCGCCUUCAUCAAAAAUGGUAGGGCAACGUUUUUGUUGGCUUCUUUCUGGAAUCUCAUGCGUCAUUACGAACGCUAGUGAAGUGUAAGCUGAGAGGUUCAGGAUAGCUUAUCUCGUAUGUCUCCCGAAGCAGGAAAUAUGGUAGCGUUAAGCAAAACUGUAGUGGCCACGAAACUGUCAUCUUCUUCGAAAAUCACCGGCAAACUCUUAUACAAUAACGGCAGGAUGCUGUUGCCGACCCACACAAGGAACGAUCGCCAAUACUCCGAAGAGCGUUCCUUAAAUAGCACGGCAUAUAGAAACUCACGAGACGUCAGUGAGUCAGCUUCUGGUAAUGUUUCAUCUCACGGCCUCGGCUUCUCAUAGCGCAUAAUGAUGCAUCGCUUUGUCUCUUGUGUUCAUUGAUCGUUAAUGGUGGAAAUAUGUUGGGUAGUUGCUUGAAGUAAUACUUGUUUAUAACGGAGCUUGCCUCUGCUUGCUAAGGUCCUUUGUCCUGAACGAGUUUAAAUUGUCUCUUUCUGUAAAAGGACUGAGUCCUAUGAGAAUUUCUUCAACUAAAGACUUCAUAGUCACAUCUUUCUCUAUGUUCAGCUAUAGUACCUUUCUUCUUCGUACGAUAUAGAAAACUGAAACCCAUCGGCCCAGAAGAAACAACUCCAUUUUGUAUGACACUUUACACGGGUAAAGGCUUAAAUCUAUUCAUAUCUAUUUAUCUGAUACAGUGCAAUGGCUCCUGUACUGACAAGUGAUGUGCUUCGCAACAGGAAGCAGCAUGUCAAAGGCAAGUCGUAAUUCUGUACUUGUUGAUGAAUUGGAUCCUUGAUAAUUGAACUGAACUUUUCGAAUCAGUUGUACUGAAUUUAAAUUUGUCGCUGAUGAACAUUCUAUGUUUAUCCUCUCUUCUCGACAGCAAUAUUUCUCUCUAGCAACUUGUCGCUGGGUUCCUUGUCAGUUGCGAAGAUUUGCUUCCUCUUUGUAAUAAAGUCUUAAAUAUCGUAAUGCAGCCUGGGUAUUACGUGUGAGAUACGGAUGCCAAAAUUCGGGCUGACACUAAACAGACGUUCCCAACUCUGUGAUUUUGUUGUAAGUUCGUAUUGAUGUAAAGUGGAAGCAUUGAAAUAACUUAUCUGUUACGACUAAAUAUUUACAAUUACAUGUAGCCUCCAUUUGCACACGUACCAGAUACGUUAGUGGAUUGCAGAAGUGAUAUAGACCGUUAAGAUGACACUGCAGAAAUUUUUUUCAGUUUUUCCAUUGAUUUUGAUGGAGUUUGCCACCAUUUCCUAUGCGGUACCAAUCUCUUCUCUUCAACUCGCAGUAGAAUUUAACACCCAUUGUCCUCGAUUACCUGUUGCGCAUAUUCUGAUGAUUCCCCCUAAAUUUCGGCCCUCUACGCCUCCCUCUGGUGCUUAGCAAGUUAGUUCUACCUUAACAUAUGUAUGUCUUCCUGUCCCGUCCGUUGCGCGGGGUUUUCCAAAGUAAUAUUCCUCUCCUCGCCAACUCUGUAGAUAACCUCCACGUUUCUUCUAUUACCAAUUCCCUUAAGUUUCAUCCUGCAUCUACAACAUUGCAUUUUAAACGCUUCGAUUAUCUUCUUUUCGGAUUCUCGCAAAGUGUAUGAUUACUUGCAUUCAGUGCUGUCCUCUCGCUGUAAAUUCUCGAAAAUUAAUUAAGGAUAUCUGCUUCUGUAUCGGCUUCAUCAGGAUGUAAAUGAUACACUACAGAUGUCAGGUGUACGAACAGAAUUAAUUAUACGGUACGGAAGGGCAGCUUUCACGUAAGAGGUUUAGACUGCCAUGCUAUAUUUGCUCGUUUAAGACUAUGAACAGAAGCCUCUGAAAGCGUUAUCUUGUAGUGCGGCUAGAAUUGUUUUAACACGUGAAGUGUAUAAUUGAAUCAUCAAGCAGUAUCACAACCAUAGCAUGGCCACAGUUACAGACACACCCACGGAGCACAAGCCGCACACCUGAAAAGAUGGCUAGAAAGGAUUUACCUUCCCUGUCUACGUAAUGGUCUCAGCAUUCUUCGGCAAGAAACUGCCAGUUUUGGAGAAAAGAAAAGCUCUAGGUGGAAACCAAAGACUGCUGUUACCGUAACCUUUCGACGUAAAGUGUGUCCCUUUUCCUCAUUAAGUAUAAAGGAUGAAUUUCUUCGCCGCAGCCAUUUACAUGAAGAACACGUCUAUAUCGCUCCAGUGAAUAAAAAAGCUGUUCACUUUGCUGUGACUACCGAUGUUUUAAAUGUAAAAACUUCAUUAUUCAACAACAGAAGAUGAUAAAUAUUGAGGGUUUUUAAAGACAGAGACAGGAAAUCAACACAGAGGGAGUCAACACAUCACUCCAGAAGAAGAUAAACAAUGAAGAUUCUGAACGAUACAGGCAGUGGAAACAGCGCGAAGGGUGCUCGCUGCUGAGGACUCCGAGACAUCGACGGACGGUGGACGAUUCGUCGCGAUCACCUUAGUAUUAAGUAUAUUGUGUUUCAUAGUACUAAUGGUCUCUACACUCGGGACUCCGCUCUACGAUCUACUGGCGAACAAACUGCUCGUGUGGUGGUUCUCAGUGCCACUGAGAGUGUUUGGUUACAUGAAUGGUUUCAGGCGGACUUUCACAACCAGUUAAGGAGAAUGAGGGGCAGCCAUCGACGCAAUUCUGCAAAUGGUUGCUGUAAUACUGGCGGCGUCGCAUCAGUACGGUAUGCAACGUAGUCCCCUCUGCAGUGGACUAGCUCGCUACGUGCUCUAACACAAUGCAGCGUUUCCUUCAGGAGACACCAUGCCGGAGUGAGCAACAUUCCUUCAACGCCGUGCAUUCGACCGGUAGAGUCCUCACGACGGACAUCGGUCGAAUGUGCAGCUACGUCACUGCUGACUCAACGAGCUGCGUCAGCAGCCGCUGAUCUACGAGCCCUCAGAUAGUCCUGGUGCAUCCGAGCUUCGAACUGGAUCCACCAAGGCGAGGCCACACGCUGGUUACCAUCUGCUUGCACCCCAGCCACUCCCCGAUGCUCCCGGGUUCAGGUGGGGCGCCGGUAGUUCCUGCCAGCCUCCUGGGGCCAUGUGGAGUUCGCACUAGCCCAGCCACCAACUGAGCUGCAGAGGUGAAACAUGGUAUCCGUCAACAAGGGCGCCGUCGACCCAGCCUCUAUAACGCUGUCAACAGCAUUCCUCUGACUCAGCGUACGUCACUCGCUGCCCGCUAGCUACGGUCGGAGUAAACAUUCCCGACUCCAAGCUCGCCACGGUACUGCAGAUCCCAUCACACAGCUUCCCGUACAAGCCACUCUGGAGCCGGAAGUGGCCAUUCUGCAACACUGCUACUUCGCGUGUUCUCUAACAUUGUAUUCGUAGGUAGAGCCCAGACUUUUACGUAAUCCAAACAAACAAAUAAUGUACAUAUUUAUGACAUGAAAAUGAGUGAAAUUUCUAAGAAAAAAUGAAAUAUGAUGAAAAUGUUUUAUGAAAUAUUUAACAUAAAAGUUAUUUUUGUUGAAAUAAAAUUCUGAAAUACACCAUAGCCUACUACAUUCUAUUAAUAU